rnacentral:rRNA from 1 species
AUUGAACGCUGGCGGCAUGCUUUACACAUGCAAGUCGAACGGUAACAGGCCGCAAGGUGCUGACGAGUGGCGAACGGGUGAGUAAUGCAUCGGAACGUGCCCAGUCGCGGGGGAUAACGCAGCGAAAGCUGCGCUAAUACCGCAUACGAUCUCUGGAUGAAAGCGGGGGACCGAAAGGCCUCGCGCGAUUGGAGCGGCCGAUGUCAGAUUAGGUAGUUGGUGGGGUAAAGGCACACCAAGCCAACGAUCUGUAGCUGGUCUGAGAGGACGACCAGCCACACUGGGACUGAGACACGGCCCAGACUCCUACGGGAGGCGGCAGUGGGGAAUUUUGGACAAUGGGCGCAAGCCUGAUCCAGCAAUGCCGCGUGCAGGAAGAAGGCCUUCGGGUUGUAAACUGCUUUUGUACGGAACGAAACGGUCCUGGUUAAUACCUGGGGCUAAUGACGGUACCGUAAGAAUAAGCACCGGCUAACUACGUGCCAGCAGCCGCCGUAAGAC